ACAAAGGGCAGCAAGUUCGCGAGGACAAGCAAAUCCCAUAAACCGUGGCUCAGUUCAGAUCGUAGGCUGCAACUCGCCUACGUGAAGGAGGAAUCGCUAGUAAUCGCAGGUCAGCAUACUGCGGUGAAUACGUUCCCGGGCCUUGUACACACCGCCCGUCACACCAUGGAAGUUGGCCACACCCGAAGCCGUUACUCCAACCCUUGUGGAGGAGGACGUCGAAGGUGGGGCUGAUGACUGGGGUGAAGUCGUAACAAGGUAGCCGUACCGGAAGGUGCGGCUGGAUCACCUCCUAAC
rnacentral:rRNA from 1 species